CGCCUUAUACUCCUACGGGAGGCAGCAGUGGGGAAUUUUGGACAAUGGGGGCAACCCUGAUCUAGCCAUGCCGCGUGAGCGAUGAAGGCCUUAGGGUUGUAAAGCUCUUUCGUGGGGGAAGAUAAUGACUGUACCCCAAGAAGAAGCCCCGGCUAACUCCGUGCCAGCAGCCGCGGUAAUACGGAGGGGGCUAGCGUUGUUCGGAAUUACUGGGCGUAAAGCGCACGUAGGCGGACUGGAAAGUCAGAGGUGAAAUCCCAGGGCUCAACCUUGGAACUGCCUUUGAAACUCCCAGUCUUGAGGUCGAGAGAGGUGAGUGGAAUUCCGAGUGUAGAGGUGAAAUUCGUAGAUAUUCGGAGGAAAACCAGUGGCGAAGGCGGCUCACUGGCUCGAUACUGACGCUGAGGUGCGAAAGCGUGGGGAGCAAACAGGAUUAGAAACCCCAGUAGUCACGUACCA
rnacentral:rRNA from 1 species